rnacentral:rRNA from 1 species
UACCCGCUCCUCCUUGUUCUGCCAUGUCGUCAUGUACUGGGGCUCUUCUUCUACUUGUUCCGCAGCAGACGCUCGUGACAGGGUGGCAGCAGCAGGAACUCCCUGCGCGAGAGGAGGUGGAGGAGCAGCAGGGACUCUCUCGUUGUAGUGCUACUCCUCCAGCUCGACUUUACCCGCCGGUAGCUCUCCGACGGGUGGACCCUGUCCGAGGUGUGGAGCGAGGGAGAGGUACGGUUGCGGUAAGUAGGCAACCUCGGCCACCUGCACGCGGCCGACCCCCGGCGCCUGGCCGCCCUCGACCACGUGUGGGAGUAGUGGCUGUAGGUGCUCCUGUUGGAGGCGGACGAGGCCGUGGUCGCGGCGUCCUACCUGUCCCAGCCGCACGCCGUCGGGUGCCAGCUCCAGGCUACCGCCUUGGACGUGCAGCUGCGGCUCACGGUCCAGCAGCUACCGUUCGGCGAGGGGUGCGAGGAGUUGAGGCGGUAGAGGUGUGAGAGCGAUGAGUGGUGGUACGAGCCGAAGUUGGCAUUGGUUCUUUCCUAGGUGUAGGAGUUUCUACAGUGACCGUAGGAGUUUGGAAGGUCCUACUGGGAAGAGGAACCUGGGGGUCCGACACCGUUUUGGUGGGAAAACGAUCGUGAACGACCUUUCGAGUUGUUUUUAGAGUUCCAUUGUCCACUUUAACUGAUGUUACCACAGUUCGACGUUCUAAAACAAGGUCUCUUCUGUAGUCGCAUGUAACCAGUCAUGCUAGAAGUACAGGGACUCUACUGACAGUCCCUCUGCGAGCUGAAGAGACGUUCUAAGGUCCCGCAACCGUCGUCUCGUCUUUAGUACUUCCUUCAGUAAUCUUCCCUCCUCCGACCCUAGUAGGGACUGGGGUUGUAUCUAUGUAUGUACUUCCGUUAUAGGUACCUACCAAAUCUUUCUUCGUACGUUUGUCUGAUGUAAUACUUCUAUUACCCUGAACUGUAUACGCGACUACAUGAUCAUCCUCUACGGUACUCUUCUCCAUAAAGUCCGCCACUCUUCUUUUCUGAUUGGUGUCCUCUCCACUAUCAUCCUGGUAGUUUUCGCGAGAAGUACCUACUUUAUAGUUGACCCGACCUGUCAAGAUGGUGGAAGGUUUAACAAAGAACAGAGGUUGUCGAUCGAGUAUAUAGUCUCAGAUGGUAUGACCAGAGUGAGGAAGUUGGUCGUGGUCUCUGAAUGGUUGAAAAACUACUAUAAUAGAACUACCGACUUCCUGUUUAGCAUAUGGUACCAGGAUUCUCGACGUAAUACUCAAAGAAACUUAGAACACCGAAGUUCACGGGACCUUCUUUUCCCCUACGACUGAAGGAAGUUCUCCAGGAUAGUUUUUUUCUAGUUGUUGUUAUGACCUCGGCGUGGCUUCUUCCUAUAUUAAAACAAUGUCAACUGGUUAAGACACUAUUCAAGUUUCGUAGAGUCUCACCAGUCUUAGAACAACCCCUCGAAAGUUUCGGCAUACUACUUAGGUUUCCUGUAUUCUUACGUGACAGGAAGUCAUAGAUGAGCAAUAGGUUCACCCUAGAGCAGUUCCGUACAAAACGUGCCCUCGAGGAAGAAUACUUUUCUUUACGGAAGUAGAUGUAUUGUUUUCGGUAAGUCGAACCUGAUUAACGACGAUAAUGACCCUGUCAUAAAGACGCGUGGGUAUACCCACAACUAUCUUAAGUACGAUUGAUAAUAUACUCAAGUGAGAAGAAACGCGAAGACGACGACUACCACUUACCAAAGGGACUCGACCGGUACCGUUAAUUGUCUGACGGUCAGAAGAUGUUUGUCUCUCUGAUGAUGAAGAUAGGACGUACCCGAAUACGUUAUGGUAGAAAAUAGGAUUUCUAAGGUCAGAGAAAUCAACUCAGUCAUCGAACCUGUAGUUAUAGGAUGAUGGACUAACCGAUAUGGGGUCUUCGUAGAUCCAAAAAGAGACUCGAGGAGUAGGAGAAGGAGUAGGUGUGUCAUUGUAAUAGUUUCAAGGCCACACAACGGAGUAUGACAGUUUGCUACCACCAACGAAGUUAGACACCGUGUAACUGUAAAGAUCAGUACGAAGAUAAACCUCCAAAGUAUUAAGGAGCACCGAAUUGACCUUUACUCAAAAACCGUGGUUCUACCAAUCUCUAGUGCAAUAGACCACAUUGUGAACCUUUCUCCCAUGAUUACCUAGUUCGUGAUCUGAAGAGGUCGAUGAAGAUGACCUAGAGUCAACGUCGUAACUAACCCAAAUGAAACAACAAGUUACAUCCGAAACGGUAGCCGAACUGGUAAUUUUUAUAAGGUCCUAGAAGAGCACGAUAAUAGAGAACGUCAUUCGAACGGUGUAAACCACUUUCUUUGGUUCGAUUCCUAUACUUUUUACCCUACGGAUUAAAUGUUCGUCUUUGGCGAAACUGUGGAUUAUCCUGACCCUCCUACCAUAAAGGACAGUGUGGGGAAUGUUAUAAUAAAGUUCUACAGUUGAUGAUACAUCUGUGGGGGUGUCUUUACUCCCUCGUACCAAUAUACCUUUCUUUUGAUGUUGAUGACGUGUUAUAGUGUCCUCGUAAAGUCGGUCCCCAAGAGAGUCGGGAAUACCCCCAAUGACCUCGCCCUUUUUGUUGUGAGGAAAUACAAGAACGACCUUCCUUUUGCCCACCACAAUAACUUCCCCUAUAUUCUUAUCCUCCGAUAGGAUUCUAGGUCGUUUGAAAACGAUCCUAUAGUCCGAUGACACUUGUCUGACUACAAGUAAGGGGUGUUUAGUGUCACCCACUUAGUCAACGUAUAAGUCGGACCAACGCGGAAGGUGGUCUUUAACUAAGUUUUCGUUCUUUACUUAAACAUUUACUUCAAGAACUUUGUUAACUCAAUCUACUUUAAUCUCUAAGAAACCAACCUUAUGGUCCCCAUUUACCUGAUAGCUGUCUCGUUGCCUUUGCCGAGUGAUAACGUCAACUCGAACACAGAUUGGGAAGUUAGUAUAAGUACCUACUCGGCUGUAGUCCGAACCUACGUUCCCGUCGACGAUAACAGUACGCACGUCAGUUCUUACAACGUCUAUGUCCAGCCUGUCAGCACACGUGGUAAGUGGUUGGUUCAUAGCUAUAUAAACUCCGUAAACUACUCAACUACGACUACUUUUCCCCACCUCUCAACUAGAUACGACCCGAUCAACCUGUAGUAAGUACACUCCAGUAGGUUAUAAAGGUCCGUUAUGGACCCCAAGGGUCCUAGUUCCUGUUGAUGUUGGGUAGUUGUACCUACGAUCUUCAAUGAAGGUGUAGAUACCUUCAAGUUGACCCUCGUCUAAAACGUGUUAACAUGUCCCUUAGUAGUUACACGUUCCUGUUCCUGUACCACCAUUUCGCCAAUUCGUAUGGUCAAGGUCCAUGCUGGCUGGAGGUAAAACGCUGUGCCAAAGGUGUCUUCAAAGUCCUCGUUAAGUUUCGAACGGAGACCUUCGUCACAAACAGCAUAACCUCUUGGGGAAGGAUGUUGGACCACGCUAAACACAAGUAUUGUAAUAGGACGUAAAAGAAACCACGUGACAAGACCGUUGUUCCGUUGUAGUUGGUGUACAUACAUUUGGUUUUGCUGGUCGUUUCAGAGAAGUGGUAUAACCCCACGUACAUACCUUAGUGAGACAAGCGACCGUAGUUGUUGACAGUUAGCCACUACGGUAAAUAGAGGCACCUCGCGAGACAGCAAAUGUCCCUCUCUAAACGUUCCUACAUGAGAGGAACCCGGAUGAGAAAACGCGUCCAACGGUACCUCUAUGGAAUACACGACUACGUCCACCACGACAAGUACAACUAUCGUAUAGGCUACUAUCCCAUGCGCACCUGUCGUCGCUUCAAGAAAACCAAAUACAUGUGGUACAAAACGUGUGACGAGACGAAGCAGAUGUACCCUUACCACCACCACAGCAAGUGGGGGUUGUAGGUUAAACGUAGGCAUGAAAGUAGAUACAAGAUGUGGGAUGUUUUGGAGUACAGACCGAAGUAGCACGGACGCGGAGUUUAUGGCUCUACCACCUAUACCAAGAUGAUGCAGAGGGGUUACAGCACCCUCGAUUCCCAGAAUAAGUGGUGCGUCAAGCCCCUAAUGCUGCUGUCCUACUAGCUACAUAAACCUCUCUGGUUUAGCCAGGGUCGUAAGUACUUCCUGAUGAAACCAAAAGCCGCACUAAACGACGGCGACCGCCGACAACAAGACCGCCGUAAGGGGUAGGAAGAACGGCAAGAGAAGCCAAUGUUGUAGAGUUUCGAGUUAAAGGUUUCCGCUAUCUGUGUGUACAUAAGUAGUUUCAUCAUUUUGUCAUCGUGCCAUCUCUUUUCUAUAACGAACGCGCGCGCGGGUGUGUG